UGGGAACGUACCCUUUGGUUCGUAACAACCCAGGGAAACUUGGGCUAAUACCGGAUAAGUCCGUAAGGAGAAAGAUUUAUCNCCAAAGGAUCGGCCCGCGUCUGAUUAGCUAGUUGGUAGGGUAAUGGCCUACCAAGGCUACGAUCAGUAGCUGGUCUGAGAGGAUGAUCAGCCACACUGGGACUGAGACACGGCCCAGACUCCUACGGGAGGCAG
rnacentral:rRNA from 1 species